UCAGAAAUUUGUGUUUAGAAAGCCUGCAGGAUAAAGAAUAAAGUGUUAGACCCAGAAUCCAGGAAAUGCUAGCACAAAGCCUGUAUGUGUUGCGAUAAACUGGACCCAGUCAUUGUCCUACCAUGCAGCUGACAGAUCUCUUUUUACUUCUGGGUUCUCCUUUAGAAGUGAUUCCUUAGCAACUUAGAAAUGGCUGUUAUAUGAUAGAUAUAUGAUAUUCUGUUUUCCGAGAUGGGAGUUUCCGUUGUGGCUCAGUGAUGACAAACCCGACUAACAUCCACGUGGAUGCAGAUUUUCUUAUUGUCACCUUAUUCUUGGACCAAAAACAGGGAUAUGGAGAGAGAGGAGAGCUCUCUUUCUCUCUGCUCUCACCACUGCUGCAACACAGCCCACCAAUCCAAGGAGCAUCAUCUACCAGGCCCCAUUCAUGGUUGUUUCUGAGACAGCCUUGGUCCUUGCCCAAGGGCCCUAUUAAAGUUUACGUCGGGUUAGAUGCGUUCAGUUUGCUCCACUUCUGCAGAUCCAUCCACUACUUCCACUCAUUUAAUGGAAGUCUCAGUCUUCUUUUUUUUUUUCUUAAACUGAGUCUCCCUGUGUUCUUUUCCUCCAAGACCGGGUCGAUUUGUACACAGGCUUUGGAAACAUAAAACUAAUUAUGUUGUCAUUCACCUGACAAUGGUUUUAUAAAGCACAUAGACCUGAACAUUUUUUGCUUGUUUUGUGGGGUUUUGUUUGUUUGUUUGGGGGGGAUCUAUUUUUGUUUGUUGUUUUGCUUUGGCUGAGCCUGAACCUUGUGGAAAUUCCCCGGGGGCUGGAAUCAAACCCGAGCCACAGCAGGGCUCCAAACCACUGCAGUGACAAUACUGGAUCCUUAAUCUGAUGCAUCACAAGGGAACUCCAAGAUGAAGUGUUUUUUUUUCUUUUUUUCUUGUUAGGGCCACAGGUGUGGCAUACGGAGAUUCCCUGGCUAGGGGUCAAAUGGGAAGUGCAGCUGCCAGCCUAUGCCACAGCAACAGCAACGGCAGGUCUGAGCACCAUCUGCAAACUACCCCAAAUCUUGUGGCAACACCAGAUCCUUAACCCACUGAGCGAGGCCAGGGAUUGAACCCCCAUCCUCAUGGUGCCUAUGUGGGGUUCUUAACCUGCUGAGCCAUAAUGGGAACUCCUGCUGAGCCACAGUGGCACAUGAAUAUUUUAAGUGUUUAAAUA
rnacentral:lncRNA from 9 species